GUUUCUGUAGUGUAGUGGUCAUCACAUUCGCCUAACACGCGAAAGGUCCCUGGUUCGAAACCAGGCAGAAACA
rfam:Mesitornis unicolor contig22325, whole genome shotgun sequence.